rnacentral:rRNA from 1 species
GACGAACGCUGGCGGCGUGCCUAAUACAUGCAAGUCGAACGCACUCUCGUUUAGAUUGAAGGAGCUUGCUCCUGAUUGAUAAACAUUUGAGUGAGUGGCGGACGGGUGAGUAACACGUGGGUAACCUGCCCUAAAGUGGGGGAUAACAUUUGGAAACAGAUGCUAAUACCGCAUAAAACCUAAACACCGCAUGGUGUAGGGUUGAAAGAUGGUUUCGGCUAUCACUUUAGGAUGGACCCGCGGUGCAAUAGUUAGUUGGUGAGGUAAAGGCUCACCAAGACCGUGAUGCAUAGCCGACCUGAGAGGGUAAUCGGCCACACUGGGACUGAGACACGGCCCAGACUCCUACGGGAGGCAGCAGUAGGGAAUCUUCCACAAUGGACGAAAGUCUGAUGGAGCAACGCCGGCGUGAGUGAAGAAGUUUCGGAUCGUAAAACUCU